UACGUAGGUGGCGAGCGUUGUCCGGAUUUACUGGGCGUAAAGGGAGCGUAGGCGGACUUUUAAGUGAGAUGUGAAAUACUCGGGCUCAACUUGAGUGCUGCAUUUCAAACUGGAAGUCUAGAGUGCAGGAGAGGAGAAUGGAAUUCCUAGUGUAGCGGUGAAAUGCGUAGAGAUUAGGAAGAACACCAGUGGCGAAGGCGAUUCUCUGGACUGAAACUGACGCUGAGGCUCGAAAGCGUGGGGAGCAAACAGG
rnacentral:rRNA from 1 species